CCUACGGGAGGCAGCAGUGGGGAAUAUUGGACAAUGGGCGCAAGCCUGAUCCAGCCAUGCCGCGUGAGUGAUGAAGGCCUUAGGGUUGUAAAGCUCUUUUACCAGGGAAGAUAAUGACUGUACCUGGAGAAUAAGCCCCGGCUAACUUCGUGCCAGCAGCCGCGGUAAUACGAAGGGGGCUAGCGUUGCUCGGAAUCACUGGGCGUAAAGCGCACGUAGGCGGGUUGUUAAGUCAGGGGUGAAAUCCUGGAGCUCAACUCCAGAACUGCCUUUGAUACUGGCAAUCUUCGAGUCCGGGAGAGGUGGGUGGAACUGCGAGUGUAGAGGUGAAAUUCGUAGAUAUUCGCAAGAACACCAGUGGCGAAGGCGGCUCACUGGCCCGGUACUGACGCUGAGGUGCGAAAGCGUGGGGAGCAAACAGGAUUAGAUACCCUGGUAGUCCACGCCGUAAACGAUGGAAGCUAGCCGUUGGUGAGCUGUCUCAUCAGUGGCGCGAGCUAACGACAUUAAGUCUUCCCGUCCGUCGGGGAGGUACGGUCGCGAAGAAUUAAAACUACGAAAGGAAGUUAGACGGCGUGAGACGUGCCGACGGACGACGACGAGGGAGGUUAGG
rnacentral:rRNA from 1 species